CAUGUACUCUCUUCGUUCGGAAUUACUUGUCGCAGAAAUGGAUGUAUCUAGACAUAUUUUAGUUCUAGAUACAUCUAUAUCCGUGACAAGUAAUUCCGAACGGAGGGGGUAAGAA
rfam:Triticum urartu cultivar G1812 contig13695, whole genome shotgun sequence.